UGGGGAAUUUUGGACAAUGGGCGAAAGCCUGAUCCAGCAAUGCCGCGUGUGUGAAGAAGGCCUUCGGGUUGUAAAGCACUUUUGUCCGGAAAGAAAUCCUUGGCUCUAAUACAGUCGGGGGAUGACGUACCGGAAGAAUAAGCACCGGCUAACUACGUGCCAGCAGCCGCGGUAAUACGUAGGGUGCAAGCGUUAAUCGGAAUUACUGGGCGUAAAGCGUGCGCGGGCGGUUUGCUAAGACCGAUGUGAAAUCCCCGGGGCUCAACCUGGGGAACUGCAUUUGGGUGACUGGCAGGGCUAGAGUAUGGCAGAGGGGGGUAGAAUUCCACGUGUAGCAGUGAAAUGCGUAGAGAUGUGGAGGAAUACCGAUGGCGAAGGCAGCCCCCCUGGGGCCAAUACUGACGCUCAUGCACGAAAGCGUGGGGAGCAAACAGGAUUAGAUACCCUGGUAGUCCACGCCCCUAAACGAUGUCAACUAGUUGUUGGGGAUUUCAUUUCCUUAGUAACGUAGCUAACGCGUGAAGUUGACCG
rnacentral:rRNA from 1 species